rnacentral:rRNA from 1 species
UCGUUGUAGCAAUACGAUGGAAAGUCUAGUGGCGAACGGGUGCUUAACACGUGGGCAACCUGCCAGGAAGUGGGGGAUAGCUCGCCGAAAGGCGAAUUAAUACCGCAUGUGAUUAGAGAGGACAUCCUUUCGAAAUUAAAGUCGGGGCAACCUGACGCUUCUUGUGGGGCCCGCGGCCUAUCAGCUAGUUGGUGGGGUAAAGGCUCACCAAGGCUUUGACGGGUAGCUGGUCUGAGAGGACGACCAGCCACACUGGGACUGAGACACGGCCCAGACACCUACGGGUGGCAGCAGUCGAGAAUUUUUGACAAUGGGGGAAACCCUGAUCGAGCGACGCCGCGUGGAGGAUGAAGGUCUUCGGAUUGUAAACUCCUGUCAUUGGGGAACAAGGUGCAUACGUUAACUGCGUGCGCAUUGAUAGUACCCGAAGAGGAAGAGACGGCUAACUCUGUGCCAGCAGCCGCGGUAAUACAGAGGUCUCAAGCGUUGUUCGGAUUCAUUGGGCGUAAAGGGUGCGUAGGCGGCGCGGUAAGUCGGGUGCGAAAUCUCGGAGCUUAACUCCGAAACUGCAUUCGAUACUGCCGUGCUUGAGGACUGGAGAGGAGACUGGAAUUCUCGGUGUAGCA